rnacentral:lncRNA from 1 species
GACUCAUGCAAAGGUUUUGAGUUCUGAACUCGAAUUAGAAGUAGAUGUGAUCUACUGCUCACAUGCAUGCAUGCUAAUUUUAUCUUCAGUAUUUUUUAGAUUUUAUAUGUAACAUAUUAUAUUAUAGAUCCUAGAGUAGGUUGAUUUGAUGAUUAGAUCAUGUGCAUGUUAGAUUAAUUUGAUUAAUCUAAUUGCCUUCCACUGUAAUUUAUUCAAAAAAUUUUGAAUUACAUGCAUGAAAUUAUCUACGUUCUCCAACAGGUUGUGAGAUCAACCACUCUCACCAUUGAGCAUACAUA